rnacentral:rRNA from 1 species
GACGAACGCUGGCGGCGUGCUUAACACAUGCAAGUCGAACGGAAAGGCCCUGCUUUUGUGGGGUGCUCGAGUGGCGAACGGGUGAGUAACACGUGAGUAACCUGCCCUUGACUUUGGGAUAACUUCAGGAAACUGGGGCUAAUACCGGAUAGGAGCUCCUGCUGCAUGGUGGGGGUUGGAAAGUUUCGGCGGUUGGGGAUGGACUCGCGGCUUAUCAGCUUGUUGGUGGGGUAGUGGCUUACCAAGGCUUUGACGGGUAGCCGGCCUGAGAGGGUGACCGGCCACAGUGGGACUGAGAUACGGCCCAGACUCCUACGGGAGGCAGCAGUGGGGAAGAUUGCACAAUGGGCGGGAGCCUGAGGCAGCAACGCCGCGGGCGGGAUGACGGCCUUCGGGUUGGAAACCGCUUUCGCCUUUGACGAAGCGGGAAUGACGGUAAUGGGUAGAAAAGCACCGGCUAACUACGUG